GAACAAUUGACUAUCUCAUAGAUAUUGCUGAGAAGAUAAAUUCAUGGAUACAAGAACUGCAAUUUAUUCAAACACAAUUAAAUUCUUUGUCAAAGAAUAUGAAUAGAAUCAAAACAAACAGGGAAGGGAGAGAAUUUCUUAUGUUUGGAACUAAAAGUCUUUAUUAACCAAGUUCACAAUCUAACAGAAUGAAUAACUAAUGGAAACCCAAGUGUAAAAUCCUUUAGUAGAGUCCUGUCUUAAUUACUAACAACAGCUCUUUAUCCAACUCAAGAUUUCCUGCAGCACAUGCUCCCAUCUCAAUGAAAGAAAAUCAUUGCAGAUUCUCAGUAACAAAAGAAAAAU
rnacentral:misc_RNA from 1 species